GUCUUAUUUAUACCCUUUUGCCUUUUGAUCUAAACCGUCCAUUUUGAUUUAAUCUGGGCCGUCCGUUUUUGAUUGAAUCUGGACCGUCCGUGCGAUUGCAUCUGGGCCGUCCGAUCGCGCAUACGCGGAUCGCCAACGUGGCCCGUCCCGGAUCGACGUGGUCUUGCCACGUGGCAGGUCCCGGUUGGCCGGGACUGCUGACUGAGUCUGCUGAC
rnacentral:lncRNA from 1 species